AAACCGCCAACCUUCCGAUUGAUAGACGACCGACUCUACCCACUGAGCCACAGCCGCGUAUGUAUGUUUCUAUGUUUCAGAAUGCUAGAUGCUUGCCAGUGUAUAGCUGCAAUCGGUGCAAUUAAAAGAUCCUCCUCACCGUCUGAGCCCGCCUCCUCCGUUGCUGUCCCGCCUGCUCCGUCUGCUCCACCUGGAUCAUGAUGUACUCCUGCCUGGUGAGGUCGAUCACCCCUCCUGUAAAGGGCCCUGCGACCUGCAGCUUCAGCAUGGCGUUGUCUCGAAAGUCUGUCACAUUCAUCGCUGCGGGACGAGGAACGUUAAGAGAAAAAGAUCGAUACUUCCUGUUCCUUUGUUUGAUUGGAGAAGGAACAAAGUGUCCUGCAGAUGACUGUCGGGUUUUGUUUUUUUAUGUUAGAAUGAAAACCAGAACAGGACACGGCACAAUUACUUUACUUUAACUUCCUGGAAGUGAUUACAUGCUUCAAAAGAAUCCUCCUUGAAUAUGACUCAGAGAUUAGAAAGCUGUACUCAGGACUAUUCAUUCACCUGUCAGGGUUCUUAACACUGCCUUCACCUAUUUUCAUCUACUACAAUCACCCUGAUUAAAGCCUGAUGAAGUCA